CCUACGGGAGGCAGCAGUAAGGAAUAUUGGUCAAUGGACGGAAGUCUGAACCAGCCAUCCCGCGUGCAGGAUGAAGGUCCUAUGGAUUGUAAACUGCUUUUAGCAGAGACGAAGACCCAUCAUUUAUGGUGGAGUGACGGUAUCUGCGGAAUAAGCACCGGCUAACUCCGUGCCAGCAGCCGCGGUAAUACGGAGGGUGCAAGCGUUAUCCGGAAUCACUGGGUUUAAAGGGUGCGUAGGCGGAGAAUUAAGUCAGUGGUGAAAUCCUGUCGCUUAACGAUAGAACUGCCAUUGAUACUGAUUUUCUUGAAUUGGGUUGAGGUUAGCGGAAUGUGACAUGUAGCGGUGAAAUGCAUAGAUAUGUCAUGGAACACCAAUUGCGAAGGCAGCUAACUGGGCCUUGAUUGACGCUGAGGCACGAAAGCGUGGGUAGCGAACAGGAUUAGAUACCCUGGUAGUCCACGCCCUAAACGAUGCUAACUCGAUGUUUGGGCUAUGAGCUUGAGCAUCCAAGGGAAACCGAUAAGUUAGCCACCUGGGGAGUACGUCCGCAAGGAUGAAACUCAAAUGAAUUGACGG
rnacentral:rRNA from 1 species